GACGUAGGGCGCGAGCGUUGUCCGGAUUUAUUGGGCGUAAAGAGCUCGUAGGCGGCUUGUCGCGUCGUCUGUGAAAUCCCGCGGCUCAACCGCGGGUCUGCAGUCGAUACGGGCAGGCUAGAGUUCGGUAGGGGAGACUGGAAUUCCUGGUGUAGCGGUGAAAUGCGCAGAUAUCAGGAGGAACACCGGUGGCGAAGGCGGGUCUCUGGGCAGUAACUGACGCUGAGGAGCGAAAGCGUGGGGGAGCGAACAGG
rnacentral:rRNA from 1 species